AACGCACAUUGCGCCCCUUGGUAUUCCAUGGGGCAUGCCUGUUCGAGCGUCAUUUGUACCCUCAAGCUCUGCUUGGUGUUGGGUGUUUGUCUUUUCCACGCGAUCAGACUCGCCUUAAAAUAAUUGGCAGCCAGUGUUUUGGUUUUGAAGCGCAGCACAAGUCGCGAUUCAGCUUAUAUCACUAGUUUCCAUUAAGCAAUUUAUCACUUUUGACCUCGGAUCAGGUAGGGAUACCCGCUGAACUUAA
rnacentral:misc_RNA from 1 species